CAGCCGCCGCGGGAAUACGAAGGGGGCUAGCGUUGCUCGGAAUUACUGGGCGUAAAGGGAGCGUAGGCGGACAUUUAAGUCAGGGGUGAAAUCCCGGGGCUCAACCUCGGAACUGCCUUUGAUACUGGGUGUCUUGAGUAUGAGAGAGGUAUGUGGAACUCCGAGUGUAGAGGUGAAAUUCGUAGAUAUUCGGAAGAACACCAGUGGCGAAGGCGACAUACUGGCUCAUUACUGACGCUGAGGCUCGAAAGCGUGGGGAGCAAACAGGAUUAGAUACCCGCGUAGUCCCUGUCUCUUAUAA
rnacentral:rRNA from 1 species